UUCGUUUGACAUGAUAUCACUUUAGUAUAAAAAUACUAUACUGCAUGUGUGGUUCCACGUUCAGAUUAAUAUACGAGAUUUGAUUAAUUAAUUAUAGAGAGUAGGCCACGUAUUCGGGAUUCAUAAUUUGACCAGGCCAUUACUGAGACAAUUGCAAGUAAUGGGAUUGAUGGACAUCGGCCUAGAUUAAUAUUCAAUAAAACAGGGCUCCUUCCACAAAGAUUAAAAAGAAAAAGGGAGGAAAGAAGCACGCAGCUUCAAAGCUAAAAAAGAGGAAAGAGGACAAAGAAAGCUAUAAAAAUGUAUAGCAGCGUGCUUGGGUAAAGUAUGAUUUUGUGAAAUAAAUACAACAACAAAAGGGCGUUACGUACCAAUGUUUGAUUAUCGGUUCAUAUAUUGAGAUUAUUUUAGGACCUAAGACGUGGGCCUCAGGGACUGAAUGGUCCCGCUAGAGAUGAUGGACUUGGACGCUCUAAUAGCCCAUAAGGAAACAACUAUGGAUUUGGGGCCUUACAAAGAUUAAGCAGUCUGCAGUACCGGCCCGGCGGCCCGGGUGAGGGGUUCUCAAAUAUUCAUGAAAUAGAUAACAUAUGUUUGGUUUACAUAGAUGACUACUGAUGAGAAAUUGAGAAUAUGAUGUGAUGUUACAAGUAGCUAGCCUUAUUAAUUACCAGCAGCAGCACUGCUCCACUGCCCAGCAGCAACAUAGCAUCGCCAAGCUACGUACGUAUCAAUACAAAAUUCAUCAUCAAACUAUGCAUUCGUACAUCCUUAUCUAUAAUUUAAAUGAAUAAAACAUAACAAGAAAAGAAAAGCAUACGUACCAUCCUCUGAGACAAGAGAAGAAGCCAGCCGAAUCAUCAUCAUAGCGACGUCGGUAUCGAUCUUGAUGAUACCCUGCUGGUACCGCCGAGGGAUGGCGGUGGAAGUAGUCUUGAUAUUGACGAUCAUGACUACCACCGUGGAAGGGCGGUGCUGGUGCCCGAUCAUAUGGGUCAUCAUAACUCAUCACCUGCGGAUAUCCAGAUGGAUUCGCUGGCCCUGGCCGUGGUGGAGGCGGCGGCUGCUCGUAGGAUUCAUGAGCAAUAUGUUGGUAGUUCAUUAUUCUCUAUAUGUUUUCCGCUGCUCUUCGUAAUCUUAAUGGAACUUCAAUCUAGCUAGCUAGCUAGUUCCAAUGUAAUAUAUGAGCCCGAGUGUUUAUCUUCAGUCGGUUGCCAGUUCCUGCAAUGGAUAUAUGAGACCGGGUGUUUGUCUUCAGUCGGUUGUGUGUGUUUUCUCCACUACUGGACGGACCAUUUUGUUGGAUGUCCAAGACAACAACAGGUUGAGUGAAGCGGCUGGAGCUUGG
rnacentral:lncRNA from 1 species